GACGAACGCUAGCUACAGGCUUAACACAUGCAAGUCGAGGGACCGGCGCACGGGUGAUUACCACGUAUCCACCCUGCCCUUUCCUCGGGGAUCGCCUUUCGAAAGACAGCUUAAUACCCGAUCUAAAGGCUGGGGAUGCGUUCCAUUAGGUUGUUGGUGAGGUAACGGCCCACCAAGCCUUCGAUGGAUAGGGGGUCUGAGAGGAAGGGCCCCAAAAUUGGAACGGAGAAACGGGCAAAACUGCGACGGGAGGCAGCAGUGAGGAAGAUGGGUCAAGGGGCGGUAGCCUGAAACAGCCAAGUAGCGUGAAGGAUGAAGGCGGAUGGGUCGUAAACUUAGUGUAGAGAAGAAUAUGUAUUAGAUGAAUAAGGAUCGGCUAACUCCGUGCCAGCAGCCGCGGUAAUAC
rnacentral:rRNA from 1 species